AACGAACGCUGGCGGCAGGCCUAACACAUGCAAGUCGAGCGCGCCCUUCGGGGUGAGCGGCGGACGGGUGAGUAACACGUGAGCAACCUACCUUUAAGAGAGGGAUAGCUUCUGGAAACGGAUGGUAAUACCUUAUAAAAUAUUUGUAUGGCAUCAUAUAAAUAUCAAAGAUUAAUCACUUAAAGAUGGGCUCGCGUCUGAUUAGCUAGUUGGUAAGGUAACGGCCUACCAAGGCAACGAUCAGUAGCCGGACUGAGAGGUUGAACGGCCACAUUGGGACUGAGAUACGGCCCAGACUCCUACGGGAGGCAGCAGUGAGGAAUAUUGCGCAAUGGUCGCAAGACUGACGCAGCAACGCCGCGUGAGGGAUGAAGUACUUCGGUAUGUAAACCUCUGUUAGAAGGGAAGAACGGGUGGAUGUCGAACAGGCAUUCAUCGUGACGGUACCUUCAGAGAAAGCCCUGGCUAACUCCGUGCCAGCAGCCGCGGUAAA
rnacentral:rRNA from 1 species